CCUACGGGAGGCAGCAGUGGGGAAUAUUGCGCAAUGGGCGAAAGCCUGACGCAGCGACGCCGCGUGAGGGAUGAAGGUCUUCGGAUCGUAAACCUCUGUCAGCAGGGAAGAACGGUCACUGUGCUAAUCAGCAGUGAAUUGACGGUACCUGCAAAGGAAGCACCGGCUAACUCCGUGCCAGCAGCCGCGGUAAUACGGAGGGUGCGAGCGUUAAUCGGAAUUACUGGGCGUAAAGCGCUCGUAGGCGGUAUUGUAAGGCAAAGGUGAAAACCCCGGGCUUAACGUGGGAAUUGCCUUUGAAACUGGCAAACUGGAGUGUGUGAGAGGAUAGUGGAAUUCCAGGUGUAGGAGUGAAAUCCGUAGAUAUCUGGAGGAACAUCAGUGGCGAAGGCGACUAUCUGGCACAUAACUGACGCUGAGGAGCGAAAGCGUGGGUAGCAAACAGGAUUAGAUACCCUUGUAGUC
rnacentral:rRNA from 1 species